ensembl:lncRNA
CCUCCCACCCUCCUUUGCUCUGGGGCGGUUCUGUGCGCCUCCUGUAGCGUCACUUCCGGCCAAGUCGGAGCGCGAAAAAAGGUCCCGAGCUUCAAUCUCAGAGUGUGUGGUGGUUGUCGUCCGCUGUUGUCCUCCUCUCCUUGUUAUCUCGGUACCGACUGUCCCGCUGCUGGUGCUGUAAAGGCGGCUUUUUUUGUUUGGUUCAACUAUGAUCUUUGUUCCAGGGACAGUUAGACCUUGGGAGCCAAAUUUCAUAAUUCCCCGGAACUCGGAUUGGAGGGCGCCGGGUGUGGAACGGCUUGAAAACCGGGACAUUUUUUUAUUGUUCUGUGCAACCCUGGAUCCCUUUGAAUACAAAAUGUAGUUGAAAGACUUGGUAGAAGUGACACUACUUCAUCAGAAAAAAAACUGGGGGAAAAAAGCCAGCUACACACUGAAAUGGAUUUAGAAAGAUAAGUAUUUGUUUAGAUUUUAAGCCAAAUGUACAUAGUUUUCAUCAGUAAUCCACAUUACCUUACUAGUCUUUGGAGUAAUUUUCUUACUCAUAAAUGUUUCAUUUCACAAAGAAUGUAAAACAAAAUGAGAUACCAUUGUACAUCUAUUAGAAUGGCUAAAGUCCAAAACACUGACACCACGAAGUGCCGGUGAGGAUGUAGAAUUAUAGGAACUCUCAUUCAUUGCUAGUGGGAACGCAAAAUUGUACAGCCACUUUGAAAGACAGCUUGGCAGUUUCUUACAAAACUAAACAUAUUGUUACCACAUGAUCUAGUAAUUGCUCCUCAAUAUUUACCCAAAUGUGUUGAAAACUUCUGUCCGCAUAAAAAUCUGCACACAGAUACUGAUAGCAACUUAUUUAUAAUUGCCAAAACUUGGAAGCCAGCAAGAUGUGCUUCAAUAGGUAAAGGGGUAAAUUGUGGUACGUCAAUACAAUGGAAUAUUAUCCAAUGCUAAAAAGAAAUGAGCUAUCAAGCCGUGAAAAGACAUGGAGUAAACUUAAAUGCAUAUUGCUACGUGGAAGACGUGAAUCUGAAAAAGUUAGAUGCUGUGUGAUUCCAAUUAUAUGAUAUUCUGAAAAGGGCAAAACUAUUGAGACAGUAAAAAGACCAGUAGUUGCCAGAGUUUGGGGCUGGAGGGAGAGGAAUAGGUGGAGCACAGGAUUUUUAAGACAGUAAAAUAAUUCUGUAUGAUAAUGCAAUAGUAGAUACAUGCCAUUAUACAUUUGUCAAAACCCAUAGAAUGUACACCACCACUAGUGAACCCUAAUAUAAACUAUGGACUUUGGGUGUUAAUGAUGUGUCACUGUUGGUUCAUCAUUUGUAGCAAAAGCACCACUCUGGUGGGGGAUGUUAAUAAUGGGGGAGGCUGUGAAUGUGUGGGGCAGUGUAUAUGGGAAAUCUUCGUACCUUCCUUUCAGUUUUGCUGUGAAUCUUAAACUGCUCUAAAAAAUAAAAUCUAUUAAAAAAAAAAAGAAAGUAUGAAAGCACUAAAUAAGCCUUUGGAUUUGGACAACAUGAGCCAACAUUUAUUGAGUGCUUACGUAUGAAUUAAAUGCUUUACAAACGUGUUAAACUCAUUUGAUGUUCACAAGUGCCAAAUGCGUCAGUACAGUUAUUACAAAUGAAUCCCAUUUUAGACAAGAACAAAAAAGAAGUGAAGGAAUGUGUCCAAGGGCACACAGCAAAUAAGUGGUAGAGUCAGAAUUAAAUCCUCCGCUCCAGAGCCUCUGCUCUAAACUACCCUUCUGCAGCUCACAAAAUACACUUGGGCAACAGUCUUUUAUAAUGAAAACAAAUUAUUAUAGCCAGUUUCUAGAGUCUUUACUGAACUGGAAGAUGGACAUGUUUGACCAAUUUAAAAGAAAUAAAUUCUAGAAGCAGCAUUUUAUUGCAUCUAACUUUAUUACCAAUUUGUGGUGCUCUCUGCAUCCUAUUGUUGUUAUGCUAUUUAUCAUUCAAUUUUUCAAUGAGUAUAUAAGUAAUACGAAAGCAAAACCAUGAGGCAGGAUAGUGCUGUGGUAUAGACAUUGGAGUCAGACCUGAGUGUGAAUUUGGCUUCACUAAUAAUGAACUAUCAGAGAAAUUAAGAAAAACAAUUCCAUUUACAAUUACAUCAAAAAGAAGAAAAUACCUAGGAAUAAAUUUAACCAAGGAGGUGAAAGACCUGUAUAUUGAAAAUGGCAAGGCAUUAAUGAAAGAAAUUGAAAGACACAAAUAAAUACAAAGAUAUUCCAUGCUUGUGGACUGGAAGAAUUAUUAAUAUUGUUAAAAUGUCCAUACUACCCAAAGCGAUACACAGAUUCAAUGCAAUCCCAGUAAAAAUUUCAAUGACAUUUUUCACAAAAAUAAAACAAUUCCAAAAUUUGUAUGGAAUCACAAGAGACCCCAAAUAGCCACAGCAAUCUUGAGAAAGAAGAACAAAGCAGGAGGUAUCACAUUUCCUGAUUUCAAACUAUAUUACAAAGCUAUAGUAGUUAAAAUAGUAUGGCAUUGGCAUAAAAACAGACACAUAGAUCAAUGGAACAGAAUAGAGAGCCCAGAAAUAAACCCACGCAUAUAUGGUCAAUUAAUUUAUGACAAGGGAGCCAAGAAUACACAAUGGAGAAAGGGCAGUCUUCAAUAAAUGGUGUUGCAAAAACUGGUCAGCGACUUGCAAAAGAAUGAAACUGGACCAUUAUCUUACACAAUACACAAAAAUUAACUCAAAAUGGAUUAAGGACUUGAACAUAAGACCUGAAACCAUAAAACUCCUAGAAGAGAAUAGGCAGUAAGAUCCUUGACAUGGAUCUUGGCAAUGGUUUUUUGACUCUAACACCAAAAGCAAAAGCAACAAAAGCAAAAUAAACAAGUGAGCCUACAUCAAACUAAAAAGCUUCUGCACAGCAAAGGGAACCAUCAACAAAAAGAAAAAGCAACCUCUUGAAUGGGAGAGAAUAUUUGCAAUCAUAUAUCAGAUAAGGGGCUAAUAUCCAAAAUAUAUGAAGAGGCUCAUACAACUCAAUAACAAAAACAUAAAUAACCUUAUUAAAAAAAUGGGCAGAAGAUCUCAACAGACAUUUUUCCAAAGAAGACAUACAGAUGGCCAACAGGUACAUAAAAAGAUGUUUAAUAUAACUAAUUAUCAGGGAAAUGCAAAUCAAAACCACGAUGAGAUAUCACCUCACACCUGUAAGAAUCGCUAUUAUCAAAAAGACAAGAUGUAAUAAUUACUGGUGAGGAUGUGGAGAAAAGGGAACCCUUGUGCACUGUUGGUGGAAAAAUAAACUGUUGCAGCCACUAUGGAAAACAGAAUGGAGUUUCCUCAAAAAAUUAAAAAUAGAACUACCACAUGACCCGGCAAUUCCACUUCUGGGUAUUUAUCUGAAGAAAACAAAAACACUAACUUGAAAAGAUAUAUGCACCCCAUAUUCACUGCAGCAUUAUUUACAAUAGCCAAGAUAUGGAAACAACCUAUGUGUCCAUUGAUGGAUGAAUGGGUAAAGAAAUUGUGGUAUAUAUAUGUAUAUAUAUAUAUAUGUAUAUAUGUGUAUACACUCACAAUGGAUAUUAUUCAGACAUAAAAAAGAAUGAAAUCUUGCCCCUUGCAACAACAUGGAUGGAACUUGAGGGCAUUAUGACAUGAAAUAAGUCAAACAAAUACUAUGAUCUCUCUUACAUGUGAAUCUAAAAAGAAGCAAACCAAGCAUAGAGACAGAGAACAUAUUGGUGGUUACCAGAGGUGGGG